GACGAACGCUGGCGGCGUGCUUAACACAUGCAAGUCGAACGGAAAGGCCCUGCUUUUGUGGGGUGCUCGAGUGGCGAACGGGUGAGUAACACGUGAGUAACCUGCCCUUGACUUUGGGAUAACUUCAGGAAACUGGGGCUAAUACCGGAUAGGAGCUCCUGCUGCAUGGUGGGGGUUGGAAAGUUUCGGCGGUUGGGGAUGGACUCGCGGCUUAUCAGCUUGUUGGUGGGGUAGUGGCUUACCAAGGCUUUGACGGGUAGCCGGCCUGAGAGGGUGACCGGCCACAUUGGGCCUGAGAUACGGCCCAGACUCCUACGGGAGGCAGCAGUGGGGAAUAUUGCACAAUGGGCGGAAGCCUGAUGCAGCAACGCCGCGUGCGGGAUGACGCCUUCGGGUUGUAAACCGCUUUCGCCUGUGACGAAGCGUGAGUGACGGUAAUGGGUAAAGAAGCACCGGCUAACUACGUG
rnacentral:rRNA from 1 species